CCGGGACCGCUCGGCGGCCGCCAGCGCGGGCGGAGCCGCCGCCUGGACACAGGGCGGGGCGCGGGGCCUGACCCUCAGGGCGACCGCAGCCCGGGCCGGCGCGGGGGGCGAGCAGCCGGGCGUGGGCGCCCCGACUCUCGCCCUGCCACCCGGGAACCCCGGACACGCGACCCCGACAGCCCAGGCUCCGGCGCCCGCGAAAGACACAUCGGACCUAUUCCGAAAGACAAUUUUGUCCAGGAAGAAAAGACUUCCACCAGUCACCCCAGACAAAGGGCUGUCAUGGGGGAGACUGUCUGGUAGCAGGAGGCGGAGGCAGAGGCAGCUCCGGGCAGUUGGCUGUUCCCAGAAGGCCACACGCUGCUCUUGACUUGGCUUCUUCCAGCCCUAUUGCCUGCUGGCUGGCACCUGCCCCCUUGUGUUGUCUGCCCCUCAUCACUGGCAUUCUUCAAGUUUAUACGUGGGACGCCUACCACAGCAUGGCUGCCAAGCAGUGCCGUGUCCGCACCCGGGAUCCGAACCAGCGAACCCCGGGCCGCCGAGAAGCGGAACGUGCGAACUUAACCGCUGCGCCACCGGGCCGGCCCCAUCACCUGGAAAAUUUGAAAGGAGAUUCCUACUACUUUAAAAGUACAUCUCAUUUCUGGAUCUACUCACCAUGAAUUAAUAUCUUUUUAUUAAACCUUAUAUUAUCUCAUGAAAAGUGUGAUCAUAUUGCAUUUUUUGCUACUUUCGUUAAAGGUAUUAAUGUAGACACUGAAAAUACACCACAGAUUUUGUAAUCCUGCUUUAGUGCUUAUUUUUUCAUAUUUAUAUGCCAGGAAGUGGUCCCCCAGCCUCACGUCCUUGGUCUGGUUUUAGGGUCAGCCUGUGGCUAGGCUGCUCUGGGUGGCUCAGAGGUGGAC
rnacentral:lncRNA from 1 species